UCCCUGGUGGUCUAGUGGCUAAGAUUCCAUACUCCCAAUACAGGGGGCCCAGGUUCGAUCCCUUGUCAGGGAA
rnacentral:tRNA from 1 species